GGGAUGGACCUGCGGUGCAUUAGCUAGUUGGUAAGGUAACGGCUUACCAAGGCGAUGAUGCAUAGCCGAGUUGAGAGACUGAUCGGCCACAAUGGAACUGAGACACGGUCCAUACUCCUACGGGAGGCAGCAGUAGGGAAUCUUCCACAAUGGGCGCAAGCCUGAUGGAGCAACACCGCGUGAGUGAAGAAGGGUUUCGGCUCGUAAAGCUCUGUUGUUGGAGAAGAACGUGCGUGAGAGUAACUGUUCACGCAGUGACGGUAUCCAACCAGAAAGUCACGGCUAACUACGUGCCAGCAGCCGCGGUAAUACGUAGGUGGCAAGCGUUAUCCGGAUUUAUUGGGCGUAAAGCGAGCGCAGGCGGUUGCUUAGGUCUGAUGUGAAAGCCUUCGGCUUAACCGAAGAAGUGCAUCGGAAACCGGGCGACUUGAGUGCAGAAGAGGACAGUGGAACUCCAUGUGUAGCGGUGGAAUGCGUAGAUAUAUGGAAGAACACCAGUGGCGAAGGCGGCUGUCUGGUCUGCAACUGACGCUGAGGCUCGAAAGCAUGGGUAGCGAACAGGAUUAGAUACCCUGGUAGUCCAUGCCGUAAACGAUGAGUGCUAGGUGUUGGAGGGUUUCCGCCCUUCA
rnacentral:rRNA from 1 species